AACGCUGGCGGCGUGCCUAACACAUGCAAGUCGAACGGAGUGAGACGCUGAAUUGAUUUAGCUUGCUAAGGAUUUUCUGUUUCACUUAGUGGCGGACGGUGAGUAACGCGUGAGCAACCUGCCUUUCAGAGGGGGACAACAGUUGGAAACGACUGCUAAUACCGCAUAACGUAUAUUUGGGACAUCCCGGAUAUACCAAAGGAGCAAUCCGCUGAAAGAUGGGCUCGCGUCCGAUUAGAUAGUUGGUGAGGUAACGGCUCACCAAGUCGACGAUCGGUAGCCGGACUGAGAGGUUGAACGGCCACAUUGGGACUGAGACACGGCCCAGACUCCUACGGGAGGCAGCAGUGGGGGAUAUUGCACAAUGGAGGAAACUCUGAUGCAGCAACGCCGCGUGAGGGAAGAAGGUUUUCGGAUUGUAAACCUCUGUUUUUAGUGAAGAAACAAAUGACGGUAGCUAAAGAGGAAGCCACGGCUAACUACGUG
rnacentral:rRNA from 1 species